rnacentral:lncRNA from 1 species
CUGUUACCAAGGCCCGGCCUCAGCAGGACAAAACCAGGUGUGUGGUGGUUUUCGUCUGCCUGCUGAGCCUCACAAAGGGAGCCCCUCGCAGCGUUGGGAAGGGUCUGUCAAACACUGCCUUCCAAUCAGAAUCUCUCAAGCUAGGACCAAAGAGCAGAAAAGGCGCGAUGCCUAGGCCCUCUUUCCAGCGAAAGACUGCAUCCAGGCCUGGCACCUGCCGACAGACACAGGAUGUGAACUGCCAUCGGUCGCUGCCUCACCCCUCCCCUUGAGGACCUCGGCAGCCCCCUUCCGAGGACUGUCUGGAGAGCUCGUAAAUGGAGCCUUCACCCAGGUUGCACUUCAGGGCAGGCAGCCAGGUGCAGCUGGAUCACGGAUCUUGGUCAGGUGAUGAUGUC